UACGUAGGGCGCGAGCGUUGUCCGGAAUUAUUGGGCGUAAAGAGCUCGUAGGCGGCGUGUCGCGUCGGGAGUGAAAGACCGGGGCUUAACCCCGGUUCUGCUUCCGGUACGGGCAUGCUGGAGUGUGGCAGGGGAGACUGGAAUUCCUGGUGUAGCGGUGGAAUGCGCAGAUAUCAGGAGGAACACCGGUGGCGAAGGCGGGUCUCUGGGCCAUUACUGACGCUGAGGAGCGAAAGCGUGGGGAGCGAACAGG
rnacentral:rRNA from 1 species